AGAGCAGGUGGAAGACUACACGGGUACAAUAACUCGAUCAGUUGAAUAUGGUGCCCGUUUGAGCGGUGAAUAUUCGAAGCGGCCUAGUCGCGCGUCGGAACCAUGAAUAUCCGCGCGCAGACACGGGGCCGUUGCGUUGGCCGCACUGGCUCGACCAAUUACUAGUGCGCCGGCCGACCGUCGGAGUGCGCCGUCGUCGCGGCGGCCGGCGUAACGGAACGGAACGGCGGUGCUCGGCAUCUAGCCAAUGGCCAAACGACGCGCCACCGUUACAUUUUCACUACGGGCGCCCAACGCUCGUCACGUCCGUCACGCGCCUACGUUAUUUCUGAUGUGGUUCUCAUCCAGCGUUGUCGUUUCGAACGAUAACGCCAUCGCUGACUGGCGACUGCAGCCCACGGAACCGCCGCUUCAGUCGGUCUCAAACGUUUCGUCGAGAUGAAGACCCGUACUCGCCGUUUUCCGGUUUAGAUAUUGUAAGAGGAACGGAAACGACAAUAGCGGCGGCGGCGGCGAUAGUCACUGUGAUCGCAGUCCAUUCGACGACCGACGGAAGUUCAUCUGCCGCCGAUAGGUGAGUUAAGCGCCGACCCAGUCGGCACUGUUCAAAAAUGUAUUUUUCAGUUAAAAACCGUUACCGCGGAACGGGAGCGAUGCGCGCGCACGCCCGGUGAACGCGCCCUAAAUCCAAUGCCACAGUCGUCGCCCGUUGACCCCGAUCGCCGCGACGACGGGUAAUGUAACAAAACGCAUUUCUGCCCCUCUUCCGACGUCUCGCCGUUUGCCGCGAUCACACGCGGCUAGCUACAACGCCGGCACGGUCGUGUACAGUUUCUUUCGGGUAAAACGCGUGUAUUUAAUAAAAUGUUAUUGACGUCGUCACGACAACCAGCAAUAUUAUUGUACGCGUGAUGACGAUCGCGUACUUGUUGCACCCCUACGCGUCGUCUUAUCCGCUCUUACGAGUCUGGUAUUUCGCCGCGUCGCGUCUCCCGUUCGCGCCGUACGGACAUUCCGUCGCGAAACCGACGCGCAUUUUCGGCCGCGGCGGCGCCACCUCCGCGCCGUGAAAUUUACGACACAAUAUUAUAUUAUUAUUUUAUCGAUUCGCGCGCGCGGCGGGACGUGGAAUCGUUUCAUUGUGGUGGAAGCGCAACGUGGCGGCGGGAACACCGGCGACCUCUAGUGUGACGUGCCCGCAGCGGUUCAGUGACCUCGGCACGUGUACCAGAUGCCGCGGUCAGUCGUUCAAUCGUUAUCAACCGUCGUUUCUCGGUGGCGGCGGUGGUCAUGUGCCAGCCGUGUGCGCGCGCGGAGCGAUGCGCUCGCUCGAAGAAACAAGGUCGCGGCGGUUACCGUCGGUCCGAUCGCGGCCGCCCGUCGCGACGGUUUGUUUUUCCGUUUUCCGACGAUUUUCCGCCAACGACGACGCGUCGUACGGAGGUUGUCGGCGCGGCGCAUGCGCAUUACUGGCGGCGGCGGCAACCGGUCAAAAGUCGAAACGUACAAUAAUAUUAUAUUUUGCGUCGUCCGUCUUCUACAGAGAGUAAGUUGUAAUGGUUCAACGUGUCGUCGUCAUACGACUUGUACGUGACACGAAGUCCAUCAUCGCGAGUGUACGCCGUCGACUUCGUUUCACGUCCGACGCAGAUGUGUGUAGUGCUGCGCAGUUUAUAACCUUUAAUGAUGUCAUGCGUCUGGAUUCUCGCACCAAUCAUCACCGAUAUUGUAACACGGAUUACUGAUCGUCGCAGUCUUCAGCCAGUAGCUAAGCCAGUUAUAAGGUCGCGCAACCCACACGAGCAGUGUAUAAGUGACCACGUCCUUCACGACUCCCUUUGCCUUGUUCGUGUACAUUGCUAGACACGUUGUCAAUACGCUGCCGUGUCAACGCUUAUAGCACGUACAUAACAUACGUAUAAAAUUAUAUGCAAACAAUAUAGGGUGUUUCCCCGACGAGCGUUUGCAGUCUUCAACAUUUUUUUAUCUCAGGUAAUGUAUAUUAUAAUACCUACCUAUAUGUUAUACACUCGAGUGUAGUACUAUAUGUGUAAUAUAUUUUAUGAAACACCACCCGAAUCAAAUCGUAACUAUGUUUUAGAGAGAGAGAGACUAGAGAGAGAGAGAUAGUUAUAAAUAUCGUAGACAACAUACUAAAAAAAAAAAUUAUAUACUUUAGUGUUUUAUUAAUUUUUUUUCUAAAUCAUUGAGAUGAUUUGUGUAAACAUCGUGAGUUGAAUGAUUUAACUAGUUCUAUGAUAACAGAAGUUCGACUAAACUCAAUAUAGGUAUUAUAUUAAUAUUUUCAUUAAGCGUUUUAAUGUGAGAUUUUAACUUUGGUCGUAUAUGAGAUUUGCUUAUAUUAUAUACUAUAUAUAUAGCUUAUACAUCAAAGUUGAUGUGGAAAAGUCGUUGUGAGGCAUACUGUAUACGAGUAAACACGUAUACCUAUAUAUACACGGGUAUAAUAUUUAUAUUUAUGUACGACAGCUGAACAUAUGUACUGUACUUAACGAACAACCACUUGUACUCGUAGUCUUUCUUACAUUAUUAUAUUGUGUUGUAGCAAUAUUGUAAGCGCAUCGUAUAUGAUAUUAUGCCUAUUAUUAUUGUUUGAUAAGUUGUUUUCAACGUGCACUAUACAUCUUACGAAAUCGGUUAAACGAAUCACAAACGAUAACAAUCGUAUCGAGACAGUUUAUUAUAUUUGCGAGCUUUCGGUGCACAAGUACAUAUUAGGGUCUUUCUCUCUCUCUGUGUAUGUAUGUUUUAUAUAUUAUAUAAGAAAUUAAGUUACACACCAACUGAAUAUGAAAAAUACACCAGUUUCCGUGAUUAUAUAUACUCGUAAAUUUGAUCGUUGUAACUGGUGAGCUGCAAAACUCGUGCUAUUGAUCGUUAUAUAUAUUAUAUUAUGAUAUUUUCGUUGCAAAAAAUGACUCGGAGAAAUAAUGUCCCGCUACAAAAUUCCGGUUGCGUUUUUUUCGGCUGAAUUAUUUCUGUUAAUAUUUAUACAUAAGCUCCAUUUUCCUACACACACAGGAUUUAUAUGCAAAUCGCGUUGGUUUGGAAAAAAAUACGGGACUGACCGGUAAUAACAUUUAUCUUGUUAACUUGUAUAUAUGAUAAUAAAUUAACAUGAUUAAAAUUUAUGAUGUGCGAUUUUGUUUGGACUUUUAAAAUAUUUAAAAUAUGAGGUGAAUCCAUAUAUAGAUAUACCCAUGUUAUUUUUAUCGCAUGGUUCUGUCAUAUAUACAUACAAUAUAAAUAUGAUAUAUUGAAUAUAUGCAUAAUUAUAAUAUGACAGCCAAUUGACAGGCUGUUUGUUAAGUAAAUGUUUGUUUUUAUUUUAGAACUGUAUAGUAUUAUACAGUUUCUCAGUACAAAGUUCGAUUCAUGCAUAGGACAAUUCAAUUUAAAAUAAAUUUUAAUAAAGGUUUUAUACUAUAGUAAAAAUAUAAAUAGAACUGAUAUAUUUUCAUACUGAUUGUGGU